rnacentral:rRNA from 2 species
CACGGGGGGAGCAAGCGUUGUUCGGAAUCACUGGGCGUAAAGGGCGUGUAGGCGGUCAGGUAAGUGAGACGUGAAAUGCCUCGGCUCACCCGAGGAGCGGCGUCUCAUACUGCUUGGCUUGAGUACGGGAGAGGAUGUGGGAAUUCCUGGUGUAGCGGUGAAAUGCGUAGAUAUCAGGAGGAACACCGGUGGCGAAGGCGCACAUCUGGCCCGAUACUGACGCUGAGGCGCGAAAGCUAGGGGAGCAAACGGG